rnacentral:rRNA from 1 species
CCUACGGGCGGCAGCAGUAGGGAAUCUUUCACAAUGGGCGAAAGCCUGAUGGAGCAACGCCGCGUGCAGGAUGAAGGCCUUCGGGUUGUAAACUGCUUUUAUAAGCGAGAAAUAUGAUGGUAACUUAUGAAUAAGGAUCGGCUAACUACGUGCCAGCAGCCGCGGUCAUACGUAGGAUCCGAGCAUUAUCCGGAGUGACUGGGUGUAAAGAGUUGCGUAGGUGGCAUAAUAAGUAGCUAGUGAAAUCUGGUGGCUCAACCAUUCAGACUAUUAGCGAAACUGUUAAGCUCGAGACCGUUAGGGGUAACUGGAAUUGCUAGUGUAGGAGUGAAAUGCGUAGAUAUUAGAAAGAACACCAAUAGCGUAGGCAGGUUACUGGGACGGUUCUGACACUAAGGCACGAAAGCGUAGGGAGCAAACGGGAUUAGAUACCCCUGUAGUC